rnacentral:rRNA from 1 species
AGAGUUUGGUCAUGGCUCAGAUUGAACGCUGGCGGCAGGCCUAACACAUGCAAGUCGAACGGUAACAGGAAACAGCUUGCUGUUUCGCUGACGAGUGGCGGACGGGUGAGUAAUGUCUGGGAAACUGCCUGAUGGAGGGGGAUAACUACUGGAAACGGUUGCUAAUACCGCAUAACGUCGCAAGACCAAAGAGGGGGACCUUCGGGCCUCUUGCCAUCAGAUGUGCCCAGAUGGGAUUAGCUAGUAGGUGGGGUAACGGCUCACCUAGGCGACGAUCCCUAGCUGGUCUGAGAGGAUGACCAGCCACACUGGAACUGAGACACGGUCCAGACUCCUACGGGAGGCAGCAGUGGGGAAUAUUGCACAAUGGGCGCAAGCCUGAUGCAGCCAUGCCGCGUGUAUGAAGAAGGCCUUCGGGUUGUAAAGUACUUUCAGCGGGGAGGAAGGGAGUAAAGUUAAUACCUUUGCUCAUUGACGUUACCCGCAGAAGAAGCACCGGCUAACUCCGUGCCAGCAGCCGCGGUAAUACGGAGGGUGCAAGCGUUAAUCGGAAUUACUGGGCGUAAAGCGCACGCAGGCGGUUUGUUAAGUCAGAUGUGAAAUCCCCGGGCUCAACCUGGGAACUGCAUCUGAUACUGGCAAGCUUGAGUCUCGUAGAGGGGGGUAGAAUUCCAGGUGUAGCGGUGAAAUGCGUAGAGAUCUGGAGGAAUACCGGUGGCGAAGGCGGCCCCCUGGACGAAGACUGACGCUCAGGUGCGAAAGCGUGGGGAGCAAACAGGAUUAGAUACCCUGGUAGUCCACGCCGUAAACGAUGUCGACUUGGAGGUUGUGCCCUUGAGGCGUGGCUUCCGGAGCUAACGCGUUAAGUCGACCGCCUGGGGAGUACGGCCGCAAGGUUAAAACUCAAAUGAAUUGACGGGGGCCCGCACAAGCGGUGGAGCAUGUGGUUUAAUUCGAUGCAACGCGAAGAACCUUACCUGGUCUUGACAUCCACGGAAGUUUUCAGAGAUGAGAAUGUGCCUUCGGGAACCGUGAGACAGGUGCUGCAUGGCUGUCGUCAGCUCGUGUUGUGAAAUGUUGGGUUAAGUCCCGCAACGAGCGCAACCCUUAUCCUUUGUUGCCAGCGGUCCGGCCGGGAACUCAAAGGAGACUGCCAGUGAUAAACUGGAGGAAGGUGGGGAUGACGUCAAGUCAUCAUGGCCCUUACGACCAGGGCUACACACGUGCUACAAUGGCGCAUACAAAGAGAAGCGACCUCGCGAGAGCAAGCGGACCUCAUAAAGUGCGUCGUAGUCCGGAUUGGAGUCUGCAACUCGACUCCAUGAAGUCGGAAUCGCUAGUAAUCGUGGAUCAGAAUGCCACGGUGAAUACGUUCCCGGGCCUUGUACACACCGCCCGUCACACCAUGGGAGUGGGUUGCAAAAGAAGUAGGUAGCUUAACCUUCGGGAGGGCGCUUACCACUUUGUGAUUCAUGACUGGGGUGAAGUCGUAACAAGGUAACCGUAGGGGAACCUGCGGUUG